rnacentral:rRNA from 1 species
UACGUAGGGUGCUAGCGUUGUCCGGAUUUAUUGGGCGUAAAGGGCUCGUAGGCGGCGUGUCGCGUCGGGGAGUGAAAGCCCGCUGCUUAACGGCGGGUUGGCUUCCGGUACGGGCAUCGCUGGAGUGCGGCAGGGGGAGACUGGAAUUCCUGGUGUAGCGGUGGAAUGCGCAGAUAUCAGGAGGAACACCGGUGGUGUAAACGGCUUUCUGGACCAUAACUGACGCUGAGGCACGAAAGCGUGGGUAGCAAACAGG